rnacentral:rRNA from 1 species
AACGUAGGAGACAAACGUUAUCCGGAGUUACUGGGCGUAAAGGGCGUGUAGGUGGUGCUGUAAGUUCGGCGUGAAAUUUUUCGGCUUAACCGGGAAAGGUCGUCGGAUACUGCAGGACUAGAGGACGGUAGAGGCGUGUGGAAUUCCGGGGUGUAGUGGUGAAAUGCGUAGAGAUCCGGAGGAACACCAGUGGCGAAGGCGACACGCUGGGCCGUACCUGACACUGAGGCGCGGUAGCAUGGGGAGCAAACAGG